AUUGAACGCUGGCGGCAUGCCUUACACAUGCAAGUCGAACGGCAGCACGGGUGCUUGCACCUGGUGGCGAGUGGCGAACGGGUGAGUAAUACAUCGGAACGUACCUUAUCGUGGGGGAUAACGCAGCGAAAGCUGUGCUAAUACCGCAUACGCCCUGAGGGGGAAAGCGGGGGAUCGCAAGACCUCGCGCGAUUAGAGCGGCCGAUGCCUGAUUAGCUUGUUGGUGGGGUAAAAGCCCACCAAGGCGACGAUCAGUAGCUGGUCUGAGAGGACGAUCAGCCACACUGGGACUGAGGCACGGCCCAGACUCCUACGGGAGGCAGCAGUGGGGAAUUUUGGACAAUGGGGCAACCCUGAUCCAGCAAUGCCGCGUGAGUGAAGAAGGCCUUCGGGUUGUAAAGCUCUUUUGUCAGGGAAGAAACACCGGCUCUAACACAGUCCGGGAAUGACGGUACCUGAAGAAUAAGCACCGGUUAACUACGUGCCAGCCGCCGCGGUAA
rnacentral:rRNA from 1 species